AACGAACGCUGGCGGCAUGCCUAACACAUGCAAGUCGAACGAGACCUUCGGGUCUAGUGGCGCACGGGUGCGUAACGCGUGGGAACCUGCCCUUAGGCUCGGAAUAACUCUCUGACAGGGGUGCUAAUACCGGAUAAUGUCUUCGGACCAAAGAUUUAUCGCCUUUGGAUGGGCCCGCGUUGGUUUAGCCUGUUGGUAGGGUAAAAGCCUACCAAGGCGACGAUCCAUAGCUGGGCUGAGAGGAUGAGCAGCCACACUGGGACUGAGACACGGCCCAGACUCCUACGGGAGGCAGCAGUGGGGAAUAUAGGACAAUGGGCGAAAGCCUGAUCCAGCAAUGCCGCGUGAGUGAUGAAGGCCUUAGAGUUGUAAAGCUCUUUUACCCGGGAUGAUAAUGACAGUACCGGGAGAAUAAGCACCGGCUAACUCCGUG
rnacentral:rRNA from 1 species